AGUCGAACGGCAGCACGGACUUCGGUCUGGUGGCGAGUGGCGAACGGGUGAGUAAUGUAUCGGAACGUGCCUUCUAGUAGCGGGGGAUAACUACGCGAAAGCGUAGCUAAUACCGCAUACGCCCUUCGGGGGAAAGCGGGGACCUUCGGGCCUCUAAUUAUUAGAGCGGGCUGCAGAUAUCGGAUUAGCUAGUUGGUGGGGUAACGACUCACCAAGGCGACGAUCCGUAGCUGGUUUGAGAGGACGACCAGCCACACCGGGGACUGAGACACGGCCCAGACUCCUACGGGAGGCAGCAGUGGGGAAUUUUGGAUAACGGGGAAACUCCCGAUCCAGCCAUCCCGCGUGUGCGAUGAAGGCCUUUGUUGUAAAGCACUUUUGGCAGGAAAGAAACGGCACGGGAUAAUACCCCGUGCAACUGACGGUACCUGCAGAAUAAGCACCGGCUAACUACGUGCCAGCAGCCGCGGUAAUACGUAGGGUGCAAGCGUUAAUCGGAAUUACUGGGCGGAAGCGUGCGCAGGUGGUUCGGAAAGAAAGAUGCGGGAAAUCCCAGAGCUUAACUUUGGAACUGCAUUUUUAACUACCGAGCUAGAGUGUGUCAGAGGGAGGUGGAAUUCCGCGUGUAGCAGUGAAAUGCGUAGAUAUGCGGAGGAACACCGAUGGCGAAGGCAGCCUCCUGGGAUAACACUGACGCUCAUGCACGAAAGCGUGGGGAGCAAACAGGAUUAGAUACCUGGUAGUCCACGCCCUAAACGAUGUCAACUAGCUGUUGGGGCCUUCGGGCCCGGUAGCGCAGCUAACGCGUGAAGUUGACCGCCUGGGGAGUACGGUCGCAAGAUUAAAACUCAAAGGAAUUGACGGGACCCGCACAAGCGGUGGAUGAUGUGGAUUAAUUCGAUGCAACGCGAAAACCUUACCUACCCUUGACAUGUCUGGAAUCCCGAAGAGAUUUGGGAGUGCUCGUAAGAGAACCGGAACACGGGUGCCGUAUGCCGUCGUCAUCGUGUCGAGAUGUUGGGUUAAGUCCCGCAACGAGCGCAACCCUUGUCAUUAGUUGCUACGAAAGGGCACUCUAUCGAGACUGCCGGUGACAAACCGGAGGAAGGUGGGGAUGACGUCAAGUCCUCAUGGCCCUUAUGGGCAGGGCUUGGCACGUCAUACAAUGGUCGGCCAGAGGGUCGCCAACCCGCGAGGGGGAGCCAAUCCCAGAAACCCGAUCGUAGUCCGGAUCGCAGCCUGCAACUCGACUGCGGAAGUCGGGAAUCGCUAGUAAUCGCGGAUCAGCAUGUCGCGGUGAAUACGUUCCCGGGUCUUGUACACACCGCCCGUCACACCAUGGGAGUGGGUUUUACCAGAAGUAGUUAGCCUAACCGUAAGGAGGACGAUUACCACGGUAGGAUUCAUGACUGGGGUGAAGUCGUAACAAGGCAG
rnacentral:rRNA from 1 species